CCAGAAUUAUAGGGUAUUCAUUGGUACAAGGAGAAAUGGUACCUUGACCCAAUUCUUGGCACCAGGUUGAGGGACCACAGAUCCUGAGCUGGAUCGGCAGUAGGACCCAAAACACCAAAUCGCAAAUCAGGAGCUGGCUGAGUGAAUUUGUCAUAUCAGCCAAAGUUCCUGCAAGCUUGAAGCUGACCAAGGCUGAUUUAGAUGGAAGAGGAACUAGUGAGAAGAUAUUUGGAACUCACAAAACCAUUCGGCAACCUGUAAAGACAAGUUUGGAAGGAAGGUGUGAAGAAUUUGACUGAUCCCACUGUGACCCUGACUUUUUGGGACCAGCCAGAGUGCUCCAGAGUUUACAAAGAUACCAUGCUCCCAUGAAAUACUGUGGCCUUAAGGCCUCCUUUAAAGGGAAAAAUUAUAUAUUACAGAUUUACUCUAUCAUCUAUUCUGAUGUUGCUUGUGUGCACACAUACAGACAUGUAAAUGCAGG